GAGUUGCGAACGGGUGAGUAACGCGUAGGUAACCUGCCUGGUAGCGGGGGAUAACUAUUGGAAACGAUAGCUAAUACCGCAUAAGAGUAGAUGUUGCAUGACAUUUGCUUAAAAGGUGCAAUUGCAUCACUACCAGAUGGACCUGCGUUGUAUUAGCUAGUUGGUGGGGUAACGGCUCACCAAGGCGACGAUACAUAGCCGACCUGAGAGGGUGAUCGGCCACACUGGGACUGAGACACGGCCCAGACUCCUACGAGAGGCAGCAGUAGGGAAUCUUCGGCAAUGGACGGAAGUCUGACCGAGCAACGCCGCGUGAGUGAAGAAGGUUUUCGGAUCGUAAAGCUCUGUUGUAAGAGAAGAACGAGUGUGAGAGUGGAAAGUUCACACUGUGACGGUAUCUUACCAGAAAGGGACGGCUAACUACGUGCCAGCAGCCGCGGUAAUACGUAGGUCCCGAGCGUUAUCCGGAUUUAUUGGGCGUAAAGCGAGCGCAGGCGGUUAGAUAAGUCUGAAGUUAAAGGCUGUGGCUUAACCAUAGUACGCUUUGGAAACUGUUUAACUUGAGUGCAGAAGGGGAGAGUGGAAUUCCAUGUGUAGCGGUGAAGUGCGUAGAUAUAUGGAGGAACACCGGUGGCGAAAGCGGCUCUCUGGUCUGUAACUGACGCUGAGGCUCGAAAGCGUGGGGAUCAAACAGGAUUAGAUAUCCUGGUAGUCCACGCCGUAAACGAUGAGUGCUAGGUGUUGGGUCC
rnacentral:rRNA from 1 species